rnacentral:rRNA from 1 species
AUUGAACGCUGGCGGCAGGCCUCACACAUGCAAGUCGAACGAGUGGCGGACGGGUGAGUAAUAUAUGGGAAACUGCCUGAUGGAGGGGGAUAACUACUGGAAACGGUAGCUAAUACCGCAUACCAUCAGAUGUGCCCAGAUGGGAUUAGCUAGUUGGUGGGGUAAAGGCUCACCAAGGCAACGAUCCCUAGCUGGUUUGAGAGGAUGACCAGCAACACUGUGACUGAGACACGGUCCAGACUCCUACGGGAGGCAGCAGUGGGGAAUAUUGCACAAUGGGCGCAAGCCUGAUCCAGCCAUGCCGCGUGUAUGAAGAAGGCCUUCGGGUUGUAAAGUACUGUCAGCGGGGAGGCGUUACCCGCAGAAGAAGCACCGGCUAACUCCGUGCCAGCAGCCGCGGUAAUUC